GACGAACGCUGGCGGCGUGCCUAAUACAUGCAAGUCGAACGCAGUGGGGACGGGUGAGUAACACGUGGGUAACCUCCCAUCAGAGGGGAUAACACUUGGAAACAGGUGCUAAACCGAUACUGAUGGAUGGACCCGCGGUGCAUUAGCUAGUUGGUGAGGUAACGGCUCACCAAGGCCACGAUGCAUAGCCGAACUGAGAGGGUGACUGGCCAAACUGGGACCGGGAAAAGGCCCAGACUCCUACGGGAGGGAGCAGUAGGGAAUUGUUGGAAAUGGGCGAAAGUCUGACCGAGCAACGCCGGGGGAGUGAAGAAGGUUUUCGGAUCGGAAAACUUUGGUGUUAGAGAAGCGGUAUUUAACCAGAAAGCCACGGCUAACUACGGGCCAGCAGCCGCGGUAAAAUC
rnacentral:rRNA from 1 species